rnacentral:sRNA from 1 species
UCUUCAAGCUNUGGGGAAGGAUGAGAAGCUUCGACUAAGGUUCGAUUCGAGCGCAGCGAGAAAGCGUUGCCGCAGGCAACGACCCGAAGGGCGAAGCGCGCAGCGCUGAGUAAUCCUUCCCCCACCACCA